AUACGGAGGGUCCGAGCGUUAAUCGGAAUUACUGGGCGUAAAGCGUACGUAGGUGGCUUGAUUAGUCGGAUGUGAAAUCCCCGGGCUUAACCUGGGAACUGCGUUUGAAACUGCAAGGCUAGAGUGUGGCAGAGGGGGGUGGAAUUCCGCGUGUAGCAGUGAAAUGCGUAGAUAUGUGGAGGAACACCGAUGGCGAAGGCAGCCCCCUGGGUCAGCACUGACGCUCAGGCACGAAAGCAUGGGGAGCAAACAGGAUUAGAUACCCCAGUAGUCC
rnacentral:rRNA from 1 species